rnacentral:rRNA from 1 species
AAGGAUGGGUCUGCGGCCUAUCAGGUAGUAGUGGGUGUAAUGUACCUACUAGCCUACGACGGGUACGGGUUGUGAGAGCAAGAGCCCGGAGAUGGAUUCUGAGACAUGAAUCCAGGCCCUACGGGGCGCAGCAGGCGCGAAAACUUUACAAUGCGGGAAACCGUGAUAAGGGGACACCGAGUGCCAGCAUCCUAUGCUGGCUGUCCGGGUGUGUAAAAUACACCUGUUAGCAAGGGCCGGGCAAGACCGGUGCCAGCCGCCGCGGUAACACCGGCGGCCCGAGUGGUGAUCGUGAUUAUUGGGUCUAAAGGGUCCGUAGCCGGUUUGGUCAGUCCUCCGGGAAAUCUGACAGCUCAACUGUUAGGCUAUCGGAGGAUACUGCCAGACUUGGAACCGGGAGAGGUAAGAGGUACUACAGGGGUAGGAGUGAAAUCUUGUAAUCCCUGUGGGACCACCUGUGGCGAAGGCGUCUUACCAGAACGGGUUCGACGGUGAGGGACGAAAGCUGGGGGCACGAACCGGAUUAGAUACCCGGGUAGUCCCAGCCGUAAACGAUGCUCGCUAGGUGUCAGGCAUGGCGCGACCGUGUCUGGUGCCGUAGGGAAGCCGUGAAGCGAGCCACCUGGGAAGUACGGC